ACUAUAGUAGGGACUGGAAAUUCAACGUGAAAAAAAGUUAAAUCUCUGCUGCCUUAAAAGAUGAAUAGGUGCUGUUUACCAAGAUUGCUGGAGAAAGCCAAGCAGUGGGAGCCAAUGAAGUCUUCCCAACAUGACACCCAUACUUGAGAUUCUCCAGCCUCUGGACUCCAGGACUUCCACUAGUAGUCUACCAACCCCACCUCCCAAGUUUUCAGGCCUUCAGCUCCAGACUAAGAGUUACACCAUCAGCUUCUGUGAUUCUGAGGCUUUCAAAUUUGUACUGAGCCAGCCAUAUUGCUGAAUCCCUGUGUCUCCAGCUUGUACACAGCCUGUUGUGGGACUUCUCAACCUUCAUAAUUACAUGAGCCAAUUCCCCUAACUAAUCCCCUCAUCUAUCUAUCUAUCUAUCUAUCUAUCUAUCUAUCUAUCUAUCCAUCCAUCCAUCCAUUCUACUGUUGCUGUCUCUCUCUGGAGAACCCUAACUAUUGCCCAACUGCACUGACGCAUAGCUCCCUAUUUACAUUGUUACAUUGUGUACAGAAGGUCAUAGUCUGGAAAGUAUCAUUUAAAAUGCACCAGUGACCCAUUAGACCACAUAUCACCAAUGACUUCAGAUCCUGUCUCUCUUGCCUGUCUCUGGUUCCAGCUGCUACUGCUGCCUUGCUGCACAUGGGCUCCCACCAAUUGCAGGGAAGUGCCACCUGCCCCCACUUCACCUCCUGCCUAGGCUACAUAAUCCUCCACCUCCCUAGUAUUUCUGUUGAUGUGAAGAAGUGAACAUCAACAAGCAAGACCCUAUUGCAGCUUGUACAACUUCAACCUGGAAGUGCUAGGAACUUGAUGGAUGCCCAGCAGGGCGAAACUUUGACCAGUGGGAGAUGAGAACAGUAGAUUACUUCUUCCCUCAUCCACCUCACUGAACUCUGAGACAAAGUGCCUUUUUGGAGGACGUUCUCCAGACCCAGAAAUCAGCUGCAUUCUUAGUUGCCUGUUUCACUUUCUCUGCCUCACUCCCCUUGUCCAUCACUCCUGCCCUCCAGGGCUGGCCAGCCAAGCAAUAGCACACAGUGCUGCUUCAGGCUCUGCUUUAUGGGAAAUCCAGACAUUUCCAUGAAUAUCUUAUUUCAAUUAUUUAUAUCUAUACAGCAUGUUUACCAAAGUACUUUUAGAAUAAUAUUUCAUUGAAACUUUUAAUAAGAGGUUUUAGAAAGAAAGUCAAUGAGAAUAACUAAUUCAUGCCCAUGAUAAAGUAUAAACCAAUUAUGCAAAACAGAUAAAUUCAAGCUUCUCAAAGUUACAUGGGUAUAAUCCAUGCAGCUCUCCUGGGUUUUAACCACUAAGCCUCCCCUUCUUAGGUGUACUCUUCAGAUACCACCAUCCUUGUGUUUAAAAUAAGAAUUUCUGCCCAUUUUUCAUCCUUAUUGCCUUCUUUGUUUUGUUCUCCGUCUCCUCCUUUUCAUGUAUUUUUUUUCAAAGAGGUUUCAUAUUCCCUCGUUUUACAGUCAAUGUCCUAGACAUAUCCUGUCUUAAAAGUACUGUAUGUCGAUUGGGUAUAGAGAAUGACUAUCUAGGUUCAUAAUUUCACCUCUGACACUAAUAAACUUUGUGGUCUCGCAUGA
rnacentral:lncRNA from 1 species